UGGGGAAUAUUGGACAAUGGGCGCAAGCCUGAUCCAGCCAUGCCGCGUGAGUGAUGAAGGCCUUAGGGUUGUAAAGCUCUUUUGUCCGGGAAGAUAAUGACUGUACCGGAAGAAUAAGCCCCGGCUAACUUCGUGCCAGCAGCCGCGGUAAUACGAAGGGGGCUAGCGUUGCUCGGAAUCACUGGGCGUAAAGGGCGCGUAGGCGGACUCUUAAGUCGGGGGUGAAAGCCCAGGGCUCAACCCUGGAAUUGCCUUCGAUACUGAGAGUCUUGAGUUCGGAAGAGGUUGGUGGAACUGCGAGUGUAGAGGUGAAAUUCGUAGAUAUUCGCAAGAACACCAGUGGCGAAGGCGGCCAACUGGUCCGAUACUGACGCUGAGGCGCGAAAGCGUGGGGAGCAAACAGGAUUAGAUACCCCCGUAGUCC
rnacentral:rRNA from 1 species